UACGAAGGGGGCUAGCGUUGCUCGGAAUGACUGGGCGUAAAGCGCACGUAGGCGGCUUUGUAGGUUAGAGGUGAAAGCCCGGGGCUCAACUCCGGAAUUGCCUUUAAGACUGCAUCGCUAGAAUUGUGGAGAGGUAAGUGGAAUUCCGAGUGUAGAGGUGAAAUUCGUAGAUAUUCGGAAGAACACCAGUGGCGAAGGCGACUUACUGGACACAUAUUGACGCUGAGGUGCGAAAGCGUGGGGAGCAAACAGG
rnacentral:rRNA from 1 species